GCUUAACACAUGCAAGUCGAACGAGAGAAGAGAAGCUUGCUUUUCUGAUCUAGUGGCGGACGGGUGAGUAACACGUGAGCAAUCUGCCUUUCAGAGGGGGAUACCGAUUGGAAACGAUCGUUAAUACCGCAUAAUAUAAUUGAACCGCAUGAUUUGAUUAUCAAAGAUUUAUCGCUGAAAGAUGAGCUCGCGUCUGAUUAGCUAGUUGGUAAGGUAACGGCCUACCAAGGCGACGAUCAGUAGCCGGACUGAGAGGUUGAUCGGCCACAUUGGGACUGAGACACGGCCCAGACUCCUACGGGAGGCAGCAGUGGGGAAUAUUGCACAAUGGAGGAAACUCUGAUGCAGCGAUGCCGCGUGAGGGAAGAAGGUUUUAGGAUUGUAAACCUCUGUCUUCAGGGACGAAAAAAGACGGUACCUGAGGAGGAAGCUCCGGCUAACUACGUGCCAGCAGCCGCGGUAAUACGUAGGGAGCGAGCGUUGUCCGGAAUUACUGGGUGUAAAGGGAGCGUAGGCGGGAUCGCAAGUCAGAUGUGAAAACUAUGGGCUUAACCCAUAAACUGCAUUUGAAACUGUGGUUCUUGAGUGAAGUAGAGGUAAGCGGAAUUCCUAGUGUAGCGGUGAAAUGCGUAGAUAUUAGGAGGAACAUCAGUGGCGAAGGCGGCUUACUGGGCUUUAACUGACGCUGAGGCUCGAAAGCGUGGGGAGCAAACAGGAUUAGAUACCCUGGUAGUCCACGCCGUAAACGAUGAUUACUAGGUGUGGGGGGACCGACCCCUUCCGUGCCGCAGCAAACGCAAUAAGUAAUCCACCUGGGGAGUACGACCGCAAGGUUGAAACUCAAAGGAAUUGACGGGGGCCCGCACAAGCAGUGGAGUAUGUGGAUUAAUUCGAAGCAACGCGAAGAACCUUACCAGGUCUUGACAUCGUAUGCAUAGCUCAGAGAUGAGUGAAAUCUCUUCGGAGACAUAUAGACAGGUGGUGCAUGGUUGUCGUCAGCUCGUGUCGUGAGAUGUUGGGUUAAGUCCCGCAACGAGCGCAACCCUUACUGUUAGUUGCUACGCAAGAGCACUCUAGCAGGACUGCCGUUGACAAAACGGAGGAAGGUGGGGAUGACGUCAAAUCAUCAUGCCCCUUAUGACCUGGGCCUCACACGUACUACAAUGGCUGUCAACAGAGGGAUGCAAAGCCGCGAGGUGGAGCGAACCCCUAAAAGCAGUCUUAGUUCGGAUUGUAGGCUGCAACCCGCCUGCAUGAAGUCGGAAUUGCUAGUAAUCGCAGAUCAGCAUGCUGCGGUGAAUACGUUCCCGGGCCUUGUACACACCGCCCGUCACGCCAUGGGAGUCGGUAACACCCGAAGCCUGUAGUCUAACCGCAAGGAGGACGCAGUCGAAGGUGGGAUUGAUGACUGGGGUGAA
rnacentral:rRNA from 1 species